rnacentral:lncRNA from 1 species
CUAGAUCUCUUCUGGAAGACAAACAUGAAUAGAAUUAUUCCUUUCACCAAAUGCAUUUGUUUGCACUUUCCAAAAGUCAUUAUCAAAUUGUGGCAGGGUGGAUGUUCGAAAUUCCAAACGCAUUUUCUGUUCAGCUCCUAAGUGCAGUGAUCUAUUUUUCUAUUGCACGAACUUGCUGAUUUUAGUAGGCCAAGCAUAGUGCUUAUUUUAUGAUAUAAAUGCAUCUCCUUGGAACAUUUCCUUCAAUUUCCUUUUCUCCCUCCAACAGUUUUACCUAGUCACACGUGUGGAAACCCUGGGGAGAUACUGAAAGGAGUUCUCCAUGGAACGAGGUUCAACAUAGGCGACAAGAUCAGAUACAGCUGUCUCUCCGGCUACAUCUUGGAAGGUCACGCCAUUCUGACUUGCAUCGUCAGCCCAGGGAAUGGUGCAUCCUGGGACUUCCCAGCUCCUUUCUGCAGAGCUGAGGGAGCCUGCGGGGGAACCCUAAGGGGAACCAGCGCUUCCAUAUCCAGCCCUCACUUCCCCUCAGAGUACGACAACAAUGCAGACUGCACGUGGACCAUCUUGGCUGAGCCUGGGGACACCAUUGCUCUUGUUUUUACUGACUUCCAGCUGGAGGAAGGAUACGACUUUUUAGAGAUCAGCGGGACAGAAGCGCCGUCCAUAUGGUGAGUUUGAGUAGUCAUGUGAGCUGUCAGUAGUCUUUGCAUCUAUUUGGGGAGAAAGAGGAUCUGCUACAUGUUGUCAGUGGAUUGUUGUUGGCUAACUUGACUGUUGUAUUUAUAACAGAAUGCUAACAUUGAGUAUGGUAUUUUUUCCCCUUGAUGCUCUGUUGUAACCUGUUUCAGUGUCUGAGGUGUUUCUACACUGGCAUUUGAAGCUAGAAAAGACAUGAGCACUUGAAUAGUUUUGCAUUCUCUCAUAUAACACUCAAAUCUUCCCAGGAAGAGCUUAGGAGGACCCCUUGGCCUUGACUCUCAUCUAGAGAUGAUGCAGUAUGAGCAGAUGUGUUUAGGCUUUGAGAUUUUAAAAUGGUGAGGAAAAUGGCAGCGGGAACACGAUGCAUUUCCGCCCCUUUGUGAAGAGGGACAGGCAACUCCAGAACUGCCUGUGAGGAAAUAUCUCAAAACAGAGAUAGUGUGGACUCUAGCAUGAUGUACGCUGAGUCUGGCCAACUGGAGGUCAGGAGUUGAGUGCAUGACAGAAAGGAGAUUGAAGUCAGCCGUGCUUGUAACAGAGCUGACUUCACUGUGUCCCCAGCUAUAGUUCUAAAAUGGAAAGUUAAAAAGACAGAUAUAAAAUGGCUUGAUUCCAGCUUCAUAUCUCUGGACUACAUGUUGCAGGUUGUACUUUCUAUUGUUUUAAUUAUUUAAAUGAUUUUGGUAUGUUAAAGUUGCUUCUAGUCCUCUAGUUUGGGCUUUGAGCCAUGAGCUAAUUUGAGAAUCAUAAUCACAGGCACAACGGAACAACUGGUCAUGUGUGUAUAAGCAGAAGAGUUAUUGGAGAAAGUGUUAAAAUAUUCCAAUGGUUUUCAGGCUUUACUUGUGUUCAGAAGUGAAGGGAUGACAAAGCUAAAUGUGUAAGCUGAUAGGAGAUCCUCCUUACACCAGUCUUUAACAUGGAGCCAAAUCACUUGGUUUUCCAUAACUAGAAGCUCUGUGUUCACAAAAAUGGAUACAUAAUUUUCUCCCUUGAGUUUUAUUUCUCUUAUGUUAAAUAUUAUUCCAAUUACAGAAGUAAAAACAAAAAUAGAACGUCAUUAGAAUACAGCUGUAUGACUCCUGGGCACACAGCCAACGGACUUUACAUCUUACUAGAGUCAUUUGCACAUCCAUAUUUACUGUGGGCUCUACCUGCAGGACAAAGAAAAUGUAAUCAACCUAAAUGUCCAUCAAUAAAUAUUGAGUAGAUAAAUAGUAAAUAAUGAAAAUGUUGCAUAUAAAUUUGGUAGAAUUUUAUUCAGCUGUAAAGAAAAACUUUGCAUAAAAUUGAUAUACCUAGAAAAAAAUACAUUAAUUGAAGUGACCCAGAUUUAAAAGGACAUCUAUGUAGGAAAAAUGUUCAUGCACAUAAAACAAUAAGAUGUGUGUGUCUGUGUGUGUAAAUACAGAAGUCCAUGAUGUGCAUAAAGACUUUAAAGGAAGAUAUUAGGAAGGUAUUUGAACAUUGGAUAGACAGUAAAAAGGAGAAUGUGGAGGGGAGACAUAGACAGGAACAAGGGGAUAGCUGGGGUAAGAAUGAUAUGAGGAUCAACCAAGAAUAAGCACAAAAAUGCCUUUGAGAAACACACCACUGUGUGUUGAUUUUAGCAAAGUCCACAACCACUGUCAUGAACUGUACCAUUUUAUUCACCUUUAAUAUGACUUUGACAUCAGCCAUUGUUCUUCAUCCUCAUGUAUUGGCUACAACUCUUACUCAUCUUGUAUUACUGAGAAUUAGAGCUAUGAAUGCUGAGGCUCACUGAAAACUCUGAACUUCAUUACUAGUCACUCUGACUUAAAUGAGGCCCUAAGAAGCCACGUUUAAAUGCUUUUUAAGUUCAUGAAAAAAGUCAUUAAUCAUGUGCCAAUUGUUGCUGUAGAAACAAGUUAUCCAAAUACUUCAAACUAUUUAAAUACAUAAAUAUUUUAUGGGGAACUACUUUAUAACUAUCUAAAGUGUUUGGAAUAAAAAGUAUAUGGUAAAUGAGUUGCAGAAAUUACUUGGUUAACUUUAAAUUUGUGAGAACCUGGGUAUGUUGGGUAUUGGGUGUUGGAUGUUGACUGAUAGUGUUGAUACAAGGUGUCAGAGUGAGGGAGAGAUUGGAAAACAGGAAUGAACUUACUGUUUAUAAAGUGUGGUGUGGCUUUUUGCCAAGUAAAAUGGAGAGUGUGGGAGUUCAGGGAACAGCGUAAGUGACUGAAAUAGAAAGAGAACCCAAGGCAGUUGCCAGAGAGGUGAUUGUCACUCCAAAACGGGGAGCAACUCCUUCCUGUGUUACUGUCACAGAGGAGAAAAAUGUCUGCUCUGUUCUCGGGCCAGAGGACAUUCUGUUUUCUGGAAUCUCCAUUUCUGUAUGCAUCCCACAUGAAUCCCUUCCUAUUCCUCACCCCUCUCUUCCCUUUCUCUAAUCUUCAUUGAUUUAAUUCCUUAUUCAUUACAAAUUAAUUAUCUCCUCCUCAUCCCCUCAUCGCCAUUCUCUCAACCCCUCAUCUCCAUCCUCUCAUCCCUUCAUCCCAUCCCUCUUCCUUUCCCAUUUGUUCUUCUCUUCCCUUUUGCUCCUCUUUCCCCUCCCUUCCUCUCCUCCUAGGCUCCUUAUUGUCUCUUAUUCACCACAAGUAAGUCAUCUUCCCUGUCCUUUGCUUUUUCUCUCCUGUAUCUCCCUCUUCCUCCCUUCUGUUCCCUUCUGUUCCCUUCCGUUCCCUUCCGUUCCCUUCCGUUCCCUUCCGUUCCCUUCCGUUCCCUUCCCUUCCCUUCCC